UACGGGGGGUGCGAGCGUUGUCCGGAUUCACUGGGCGUAAAGGGCGCGUAGGCGGCAUCAUCAGUCCGAUCUUCAAGCGCGGGGCUCACCCCUGCGAAGGGUCGGGGACGGUGGAGCUGGGGGCUGGUCGAGGGACGCGGAAUGCCGGGUGUAGUGGUGAAAUGCGUAGAGAUCCGGCGGAACACCGGUGGUGAAGACGGCGUCCUGGGCCGGGCCCGACGCUGAAGCGCGAGAGCGCGGGGAGCGAACCGG
rnacentral:rRNA from 2 species